rnacentral:lncRNA from 1 species
GCAACUUAACACCUCUUGAGUAGAAAAUUUGAGACUCUUCUAAAUGCUGGAAACAAUAGAUGUUUGGUUUUUAGUAAAAAGAGAAAAAAGAAAAAAAAAACUGGGUGGGGCACGGGAGAAGAAUUCAGUGCCAAAUAACCUUCAGCAAUGCUUAGUGGUAAUUAGAGCAGACAGACAUUGUAUUAAAGGUAGUGGAAGAAUAUUUUCUCCUCUAUAUUAUUAAAAAUCUGUAAGAUUGCUUCUUUCAAAACAAAAUUAAAAUUAAAAUCCAUGUUUAUCAUCAUUUUUCUCAGGAGAAAAAGUUGUUCUCUUCUACCAAAUUUUCCUGCCAUCAAAUGCUCAUUGAGUGACAAUAGAGAAAGCACCAUCAUCCUGAAGCAUCAGAUUGGGAGAAAAGUCCGCUCUCGAGAGCAUCAACUAUGUAGAAAGGGGACCAGCUUCUGCAAAAGACUUGAGACAGCUCACAAUGAAGUACUCUGUAUUAGGCAGGGUAAUAUUGAUUGCAAGUGACAGAAACCCAAUCAGAAACUCACUGGAGUCAUGAGGAACACUUAUUGGCUCAGAGUAAAGGCAAAAUAGACCUUCAGAGAAAUAAAGUCUGGGAAAUUGACUAGAUCCUCACUGAAAGAACUACUAAAGGAUGUACUUAUGGAAGAAGAAAAUUACAAAGUGAAAGAACUGGGAUGCAAGAAGUAAUGUUCCCAACAUGAUGUGAACAACAUCUGUGCUGGUUGAAUGAAUGAAUGGUGUUGAAAGCAUCUACAUCAGGGGUGUCCAAUCUUUCAGCUUCCCUGGGCUACACUGGAAGAAGAAUAAUUUUCUUGCACCACAUAUAAAAUACACUAACACUACUGAUAGCUGAUGAGCUAAAAAAAAAAAAUCGCAAAAAAAUCUCAUGUUUUAAGAAAGUUUAUGAAUUUGUGUUGGGCCACAUCCAAAGCCAUCCUGGGCUGCAUGCAGCCUGCAGGCCAUGGGUUGGACAAGCUUGACUACAGCUUUAAAGUGAUCUUAAUCUAAUCAAUUCUUCCCCAUUCAGAAGAAACCUACUACAUCAGAGUCUAUUGAGAAUCUAUCUCCCUAAUCACCCUCAGGCACAGGGUUAUUAUGUAUUGAUAUCAUACACACUAAAAAAUUCCAUCAUACAGGUCUAGAAAUACUUCCAUAAUACAGUAAUAUUUUAAUAGAGUCAUAACACACAGACAGCCACCCAUUCUGCCUGUAGCCAGUCAUGGAGCAAUACAUUUUGUACAUAACCUGUAAUUUCUUCUGGAGAGUGUAAUUACAAUGCCAAUAUGACAUUUUAUUUUUAUUAUUAUUAUUUAGUUAGUUAGUUAGUUACUUUUUGAGACAGAGUCUCACUCUGUCGCCAGGCUGGAGUGCAGUGGUGUGAUCUCGGCUCACUGCAACCUCUGCCUCCCGGGUUCAAGUGAUUCUUCUGCCUCAGCCUCCCGAGUAGCUGGGACUAUGGGUGCCCACCACCACACCUGGCUAAUUUUUGUAUUUUUAGUAGAGAUGGGGUUUCACCAUGUUAGCCAGGAUGGUCUAGGGGUUGAUAAACUACAGUGCACAGGCCAAAUCUGGUUUACUGCCUGAUUUUGUAAAUAAAGUUUUAUUGGAACACA